rnacentral:rRNA from 1 species
AAGAAACCAACAGGGAUUGCCCCAGUAGCGGCGAGUGAAGCGGCAAGAGCUCAGAUUUGAAAUCGUGUUUCGGCACGAGUUGUAGAGUGUAGGCGGGAGUCUCUGUGGAGCGCGGUGUCCAAGUCCCUUGGAACAGGGUGCCUGAGAGGGUGAGAGCCCCGUAGGGUGCUGCGCGAAGCUUUUGAGGCCCUGCUGACGAGUCGAGUUGUUUGGGACUGCAGCUCCAAGCGGGUGGUAAAUUCCAUCUAAGGCUAAAUAUUGGCGAGAGACCGAUAGCGAACAAGUACUGUGAAGGAAAGAUGAAAAGCACUUUGAAAAGAGAGUGAAACAGCACGUGAAAUUGUUGAAAGGGAAGGGUAUUGGGCUCGACAUGGGGGGUGCGCACCGCUGUCUCUUGUAGGCGGCGCUCUGGGCGCCCUCUGGGCCAGCAUCGGUUCCUGCUGCGGGAGAAGGGGCUCCGGAAAGUGGCUCUUCGGAGUGUUAUAGCCGGGGCCAGAUGCCGCGUGUGGGGACCGAGGACUGCGGCUUCUGUCUCGGAUGCUGGCAUAACGGCGCAAUACCGCCCGUCUUGAAACACGGACC